rnacentral:lncRNA from 1 species
CCAGGCGAGCCCCUCACCACGGAGGUAGCAGGUCCAGAGGAAGCAGCAGAGGCUUCCUGGAGGAGGAUUUGUACCCCUAGGAGGACUAUGUCUUCCUCAUCUUUGUCUUCAGAGGAUAAAUACAAGGCCUGACACAUAACAAGCAUGAGGAACUCCUUAAUUAUUCAAAUACUGGCCCUCCUGGAGCAGUUCUCUAUAUUUCUUAUAUCCUUUUUCCACCUAUUUUUCAUCCCAUUUUGCUCUUCAUUCUGGAAAUGUUCUUCAACUCUUCAACAGUUUUUUGUUGUUUUUCAAAAAUUUAUCUUAUCAUAUUUCCAAAAGCCUUUUGUUUGUUCUUUGACUAUUCCUUUUUUUAGAGUAUCUCGUUCUUUUCUCACGGAUGCAAUAUUUUCUCUUAUUUCUUUGAGGAUGUUAGUAAUGUUUUGUUGUUGUUUCUGUUGAAGUGUUUCUCACCAUGCCUAAUCUCUUCUUUGUCCAAGUUAAUUUUUUUUUCUGAUUGUUGAAAAGACAAGCCACAUACUGGGAGAAUAUAUUACAGCACAAAUAACGCACAAAGCAUUACUAUCCGGAAUACAUAAGUAAUUCUUACAAAUUGGUAAGAAGACAACUCAAUUAAAAAAGAGCAAAAGAUAUGAAUGAGCAUUUCACAGCAGAAAAAUAUGAAUGAAAAAUAAACCACAAGAAAAGAUUCUCAGCCUUAUAGAAAUCAGGAAAAUGUAAAUUAAGACCACAGGAAGAUUUUCCAUGGAAAAGAAGUCCCAUAGUGGCAAGUAUUGGAGAGGCAGGAAUCAACAGGGAUCCUUAUAUGCUCCUAAUGCAGUGUAAAUUGCUGCAACCACUUUAGAAUAUUGCGAUUUCAUUACUAAGUGUAAACCCUGGAGAUACACUUGCAUGCAAGCACCCAGAGACAGGUGCAAGGAUAUUCAUAGCAGUGCUGUUUAUUAUGGUAAAAACAUGGAAACCACCCUAAUGUCCUUAACAGUAAAAUUAAUUAAUUGUGGCAUCACCAUAUAAUGAAAUCCUAUACAGCAGUGGCAAUGAGUCUAACAUAGCUGUGGCUGGAUACAGAAGGAAUCAUAGAAUUAUAAUGCGGAGUGAGAAAAGCCUGUUGCAGAAGACUACAUACAACAGGAUUUGACACUUGUAAGGCUCCAAAACAAAGAAAAUUAAAUGAUAUUGUUUAGGUUUUCAUACAUAGGUGAUAAAAGUGUGUUUCUUUGUUUUUAAUGAGAAAAUUAGUCACAGAAUUUAAGAUCUUAGUUACUUCUAUAGGGAAGGCAGGGGAAUGGGACAAGGAGGAAGCCCACAGCAUUGGUCAUGCUCUCAUGUUGAAGUUGGGUUCAAAGGUGUUCAUUAUUAAAAUGCUUCAUAAUGAUGACCAUACAUUUGGUAUUUCUAGGACAAUCUUGGUUUACAUCUAUUGUCUCAACAUAAUUAUUCAGUGCAAGCCUUUCCUUUCUCAGAAAGGUCCUAAUGUAGAUAAUAAAUUAUUUUGGCCAACUUAUUUCUUAUAAAAUGCAACAUGCAUCUCUUUUGUA